GAGAGUUAAACAGUACGUGAAAUUGUUGAAAGGGAAACGAUUGAAGCCAGUCGUACCUUCGGGUAAUCAGCCUUUCGGGUGCGAUUCUGUGGAGUGUGAGGAGUUAAACACCUUCAUGUUUUGCAUAUUCGUACUCUUGGGUGUACUUGCCCGUGUGGUUGGUUAACAUCAAUUUUGGUGGUCAUAAAAUGACUGGAGGAAUGUAGCUUCGAUCUUGUAUUGAAGUGUUAUAGCCUUCGGUAGAUGUGAUGAUCAAGAUUGAGGAUUGCAACGGAUACCCUUCGGGGCUACCUGUCUGAUCUCUGAUCGUUGCUCUGGUGCCGAAAGCUUGCUUACGGUUAUCAGAGUCGAUGGUCAAUAGGUUAGAACGGGUUAAAUUCGUUAAGGAUGUUGACGUAAUGGCUUUAAACGA
rnacentral:rRNA from 1 species